GAUACCAGCGGUGCCGCAGGCUCGCUUCGCUUGCUGCAUUUUUGAAAUGGAUUUCUCCUGUCGCUUUUCUAGCGUGAUGGAACGGUUUCUACGUGCCAUAUAAAGUCAAAACUUGCGGUGCCGUGUGGGUGCCUGAAUGUACUCUAUAUAACCGGGCGGAGAAGGAGAUGCAGUUCUGUCUUCAUCUUCGCAAGACAAGAGCACGAGAGGCAACAGGACUCGCCCUAUUCCCCGGGAGAACUCUGUGCCUACGUCGGACAGUACACGAAGCUGCCGAAACCGGAUUGACUCAACCUGUGGCGCGCUGUAUUGUGGCGGCGCCUUCGUUGCUGCUGCUGUGCUGCUGUGCUGCUAUGCUGCAUUUGGAACUAAAUGCCGACGACAGGCGGUGCUAUACAGCGAAAGUGCUCUAUGAACUUUGGAUAUUUAAGUGACGUCGGCAAUCUUCAGCGUUCAUCGAGUGGCAUUUCCUCGUUUUGCCCGCGCCACAGGGGACACGUCGCCCUCAACUCUUCUGCAUUUCGAAGGUAUGUGGUGCUUUUCAACUAACUUCCUUGAUGCCAGUUUGGGUCACUGGCUAUGUGCCAUUCUUCGAUGAUGCUCUUUCACGCCGACUUGGAACACUUCGCAUAUCCCGCUCUUCAAUAAAGCUCUUCGAUGCCAUC